UAUAAAAUUGGGACAUCUGGUCACCCUUGUUGGCAGCCCUGCAGCAGUGAAAAGGCAAACUUUCCUACACAUUGCCCUACCACUGUGCUUCACCCUGGCCCUGGAGGGGCCACCUCCGAAGUGAGAGAGGAGCUCAGUCUCUAGCAUGGGCAGCU
ensembl:misc_RNA